ACUCCUACGGGAGGCAGCAGUGGGGAAUUUUGGACAAUGGGCGAAAGCCUGAUCCAGCAAUGCCGCGUGUGUGAAGAAGGCCUUCGGGUUGUAAAGCACUUUUGUCCGGAAAGAAAUCCUUGGCUCUAAUACAGUCGGGGGAUGACGGUACCGGAAGAAUAAGCACCGGCUAACUACGUGCCAGCAGCCGCGGUAAUACGUAGGGUGCGAGCGUUAAUCGGAAUUACUGGGCGUAAAGCGUGCGCAGGCGGUUUGCUAAGACCGAUGUGAAAUCCCCGGGCUCAACCUGGGAACUGCAUUGGUGACUGGCAGGCUAGAGUAUGGCAGAGGGGGGUAGAAUUCCACGUGUAGCAGUGAAAUGCGUAGAGAUGUGGAGGAAUACCGAUGGCGAAGGCAGCCCCCUGGGCCAAUACUGACGCUCAUGCACGAAAGCGUGGGGAGCAAACAGGAUUAGAAACCCUAGUAGUCCCAUG
rnacentral:rRNA from 1 species